rnacentral:misc_RNA from 1 species
UUGAAGAGUUCUGCGGACGGUAUUUGUUUCGCCAAAAAGUGAGUUUUACCGCACUUCAUUCAUCCAAUCCAUUUGUCAGUGUCAGUGUGAGCAAAUUUGUGUAAUUAUUUUCUGUGUUCAUGGACAUUUAAGUGUUAAUUUCGGAAUAAAACUGUUGAACGUUCUUCCCAAUUGGACCUCGAGACGUGAGAAGAAAUUUUUAUCGGAAUCGUGCUUUUAUUUAGCUUGUUUCACAGCAACGCUUUCUGAUAAAGUCGAGGAAAGGUUUCCCUUUCCAGCGAUAAUCAAUACGUAAAUAAUCUCCUCAACAAACAAUCAUGUUUCAAACGCCAGCCAUUAAAUUUAUUUUCGGCCUGGGCCUAUGCAGCUUAGGCGGAGCCAUGCUCUACAUGUACUUCAAGAAUAAAGAAGAGGAGGAUGAUACGAAUAUACCAGAUGAAAAAGAGAAUGCAAAGAAAAAAGAAGUUGCCUUGCAGUUAACCAUAUCGAAUGAAAUUGUGCCGACUGUUAUGGGACGUGGGGGUGCUAAUCUUAAAGUGAUCGAAGAAAAGACUGGAACAGUGAUUAGGUUUAGGGAAAAGGAUGAUAAUAAUCAAUAUUGUGAAAUUCGUGGCCAAUUACAAAAUGUGGAAAAGGCUAAAGCCAUGCUUAUGAAAGAGAUACAAAGUUCUCCGAUUGUAAAUGAAGAAAUAUUUGUACCACAAACCGCUUGUGGAAAGAUAAUAGGCCGUUGCGGUGAAUCCCUACAAGAAAUUUGCCGCAUCUCCCAUGCUAAAGUGUCUGUUGAUUCUGGUGACCGAAGCUCCGGUAACAAAACAAGACGUGUCGUUAUCACCGGCAACCGAAAACAAGUCAACACCGCAAAAAAGUUAAUUCAAGAUAAAAUCAACGAAGAUGUUGCAUUCCGUAAAUCGCUUGAAGAAAGUUUGCAGAAACGCGAACGUCGUCGUAGCCCAACGAAUAGUGUAUCAAGUACACACUCCUCAAUGACAUCCCUCGGACCUCAAUUACCGCCCAGUGAGAAAUUGAACAAUUCUGAUAGCGACAAACCAUUAGAAGUUUAUGUAUCGGCAAUAGCGUCGCCAGCAAAAUUCUGGCUUCAAUUAAUUGGUCCGCAGACGAGAAAGUUAGAUGAAUUAGUUGAAAACAUGACUGAAUAUUAUAGCAAGGCAGAGAAUCAAGCACAACAUAGAAUCGCCGAUCCAUAUUUGGGACAAAUUGUCGCGGCACUUUUCAAAUAUGAUGGAAAGUGGUAUCGCGCUGAAAUUGUUGGUAUAUUACCGAAUGAAUACAAUCCAAGAGAUGUUGUCUUGGAUUUAUAUUUUGUCGAUUAUGGCGAUAGUGAAUAUAUUGCACCGAACGAAGUUUUUGAGUUAAGAACAGAUUUCUUAACUCUACGAUUCCAAGCGAUCGAAUGUUUCUUAGCUGAUGUAAAACCAGCACUUUCGAACGAUCCCGAUCUUUGGGACCAGCAGUCGAUUGCCAGAUUUGAAGAGCUGACUCACGUGGCAAGCUGGAAAAAAUUAAUCUCUCGAGUGGUAACCUACAAGGAACGACCCAAAGGUGGCAACCAUAUCCGACGUGAAGGCUCUCCAGUACCAGGAGUACGACUUUAUGAUACAUCGGAAGGUGUACAAAUCAACAUCGCUCAUACUCUUGCUGCAGAAGGUUACGCCAUUCCCGAUUACAUAGCUGAAUCGGAAACAUCUGAUGUCUUACGACUUGGUGGUGGCAGUUUCAGGAAUUCAACGCAAUCAAUAUCAUCGAGCACAAGGACUUCGCAUGAGAAUAUUGCCCUCCCGCAACAGCAAGAAGAUGCAAACAAAAAUCCAGAAGACAAGAUCAUGACCAAUGGAGUAAUGAAAUAUUUGUCCAACGGAACAGUAAAAACUGACGCCCUUCAAAACAAAAUCGAUUUAAAUGACAUGAAAGCAAAUUCACAAAAUCUCUUACAUGCAGAGAAAUUGAACGGAAAUAUCGUUGCCGAUAAAAGCAAUAAUUUCAUCGAUCACAACCAGUGGAAUCAUCUAGUGCAAAGUUAAAAUGAAUGCGUAAAAUAUAGACUUGUAUUGGGUGAUAAUGCUAAUUGCAGAAUUAGUAACGAGAGAUUGCUGAUGUUCAAAAGUCCCUUUUUAUAUGUGUAGGCUGAAGUAGAGUAAGAAUUGAUCAAGGAUCGCGUAUAAACAACCUAAAAGUGUAUAUGUUUGCUCAUUUUUAGGAAAAGUCCUACUAACCCAAUGAAUAGAUGUAAAGUGAAUUGCUGAUUGUGGAGUUUUGGAUUGAAUCUGAUGUGCCAAAGUGAAUUGACUGAUGCUUGUUUUAUUUUUCUGGUUUGAUCCUUGGUUUCGGUGUAAUUUUCAAUACGUAGGCAUUCAAAUGGAAAUAAUUUUGGCUUGGGCCCAAUGUGAAUAAUUUUUUCUAAUAGCCUUAGAUAAACUUCAAAAGCAAUUCAAUCUCAGAAGGAAAAAAUUGUUGUACAGUUGUGUGUAAAAAUACUAACGAAAAACCACAUAAAAUGAAAACUAACCACUAUAGAACACUAACAAAUUAUCCGUUUCCAAUGCUAGGAAAAUUCAAAAACCAAAUUGGAAGGCGCUUAUAAUAGACUUGGGACUUUUACAUUAAAAGUUCCGGUCUUUACCACGCUCCGUUUUCGCUAUAAAAUACAAAAAGAAACUAACGAAUAGCUUUAAGAACAAAUUUGUUACUGAUUGCGUACGUAAAGAGGAAAAUUUAUACUUUAGUAUGCAAUCAACAAUAUUUGAGUUAAUUUCUUAUACUUUAAUUUAAAUUCCCUUGUCGUAAGGAAUGGUCAUCAUUUGUCCCUAUAGAAGUUAUUAAACGCUUAUAAAUUCCUAAAAAUGAGCAAAAAUAUAGUGCAGCAGGCAUGUAACAUGUCACAAACAAUUGAGUCAAAUAUUUAAAUUUACCCAAAAAACGUAACUUUGACUAGAAAUGAAAGCGCAGAAGAGAACGAUGAACUGUUUGAUUCGAAAAUGAUUUUUAUCCUUGCAUUUCUCUGCAUUGCAUCGUAAGACGAUAUAAUGCAAGAUUGCAAGAGAUUCUUGAAUUCGAUUGCUCGGCACACGUCGACGUGAUGCAUCUUCAACUACAAUCGCUCCUGUGACUGCUACCACUGAAUAUACAUUAUUUUACUACAAGUACUUCGUAGGAUAAGCGGCAAUGCCAUAUUUAUUUAAUAUGUACAUAAAGAAAAAAAGUACUGUGACAAGAUUUCAACGUUUUCGGUAUUAGAAUUUAUAAAAUAUUAGCUCCAAGCGAGUAUGAAUAUAAGAAAUCAAUAUUUAUAAAUCCUAUUAUCAUUGGAAUUAGUUUGUAGAAGUGAAAACAAAAUCGCCGUUUUUCAUGGCGCGAGUGAUCCAUUGAAGUGAUUGUGAAAAUAUUAUUCGCAAACGGAAAAGGAAGGCAUCUUUAACUGGACUUAAAUAUAAUCUACAUUUGUGAAGUGAAUUUGCCAGAGAUCACAAAAUAUUCACAAUCCUAUAUGUUUUAACAAACCACAUAAAAAAUAAAAUACGUAUUGUAAAUUUCAUAUAAAA